rnacentral:rRNA from 1 species
GAGGUCCUGCCUGCCCGGUGACAUUAUGUUUAACGGCCGCGGUAUUCUAACCGUGCAAAGGUAGCGCAAUCACUUGUCCUUUAAAUGAGGACCUGUAUGAAUGGCAUGACGAGGGCUAAGCUGUCUCCUUUUUCCAGUCAAUGAAAUUGAUCUCCCCGUGCAGAAGCGGGGAUACGCCCAUAAGACGAGAAGACCCUGUGGAGCUUUAGACGCUAAGACAGAUCCUAUUAAAUUUGCUUACGACAAAAAGCAAAAACUAAAUUCGAACCCUGCCUGGAUGUCUUUGGUUGGGGCGACCGCGGAGCAACACAAAACCUCCACGCGGAACGGAAAAAUCACUUCCUAAAACAAGAGCCACCGCUCUAGUUAACAGAAUUUCUGACCACUAAGAUCCGGCAACGCCGAUCAACGGACCGAGUUACCCCAGGGAUAACAGCGCAAUCCCCUUCCAGAGACCGUAUCACCAAGGGGGUUUACGACCUCGAUGUUGGAUCAGGACAUCCUAGUGGUGCAGCCGCUGCUAAGGGUUCGU